rnacentral:rRNA from 1 species
UACGUAGGGGGCGAGCGUUGUCCGGAAUCAUUGGGCGUAAAGAGCUCGUAGGCGGCUCGGUAAGUCGGGUGUGAAACCCCCAGGCUCAACCUGGGGACGCCACCCGAUACUGCUGUGGCUAGAGUCCAGUAGGGGAGUGUGGAAUUCCCGGUGUAGCGGUGAAAUGCGCAGAUAUCGGGAGGAACACCAGCGGCGAAGGCGGCACUCUGGGCUGGAACUGACGCUGAGGAGCGAAAGCGUGGGUAGCAAACGAGGA